rnacentral:rRNA from 1 species
GGCAGGCCUAACACAUGCAAGUCGAGCGGUAGCACAGAGAGCUUGCUCUCGGGUGACGAGCGGCGGACGGGUGAGUAAUGUCUGGGAAACUGCCUGAUGGAGGGGGAUAACUACUGGAAACGGUAGCUAAUACCGCAUAAUGUCGCAAGACCAAAGUGGGGGACCUUCGGGCCUCAUGCCAUCAGAUGUGCCCAGAUGGGAUUAGCUAGUAGGUGGGGUAACGGCUCACCUAGGCGACGAUCCCUAGCUGGUCUGAGAGGAUGACCAGCCACACUGGAACUGAGACACGGUCCAGACUCCUACGGGAGGCAGCAGUGGGGAAUAUUGCACAAUGGGCGCAAGCCUGAUGCAGCCAUGCCGCGUGUGUGAAGAAGGCCUUCGGGUUGUAAAGCACUUUCAGCGGGGAGGAAGGCGUUAAGGUUAAUAACCUUGGCGAUUGACGUUACCCGCAGAAGAAGCACCGGCUAACUCCGUGCCAGCAGCCGCGGUAAUACGGAGGGUGCAAGCGUUAAUCGGAAUUACUGGGCGUAAAGCGCACGCAGGCGGUCUGUCAAGUCGGAUGUGAAAUCCCCGGGCUCAACCUGGGAACUGCAUUCGAAACUGGCAGGCUAGAGUCUUGUAGAGGGGGGUAGAAUUCCAGGUGUAGCGGUGAAAUGCGUAGAGAUCUGGAGGAAUACCGGUGGCGAAGGCGGCCCCCUGGACAAAGACUGACGCUCAGGUGCGAAAGCGUGGGGAGCAAACAGGAUUAGAUACCCUGGUAGUCCACGCCGUAAACGAUGUCGAUUUGGAGGUUGUGCCCUUGAGGCGUGGCUUCCGGAGCUAACGCGUUAAAUCGACCGCCUGGGGAGUACGGCCGCAAGGUUAAAACUCAAAUGAAUUGACGGGGGCCCGCACAAGCGGUGGAGCAUGUGGUUUAAUUCGAUGCAACGCGAAGAACCUUACCUGGUCUUGACAUCCACAGAACUUUCCAGAGAUGGAUUGGUGCCUUCGGGAACUGUGAGACAGGUGCUGCAUGGCUGUCGUCAGCUCGUGUUGUGAAAUGUUGGGUUAAGUCCCGCAACGAGCGCAACCCUUAUCCUUUGUUGCCAGCGGUCCGGCCGGGAACUCAAAGGAGACUGCCAGUGAUAAACUGGAGGAAGGUGGGGAUGACGUCAAGUCAUCAUGGCCCUUACGACCAGGGCUACACACGUGCUACAAUGGCAUAUACAAAGAGAAGCGACCUCGCGAGAGCAAGCGGACCUCAUAAAGUAUGUCGUAGUCCGGAUUGGAGUCUGCAACUCGACUCCAUGAAGUCGGAAUCGCUAGUAAUCGUAGAUCAGAAUGCUACGGUGAAUACGUUCCCGGGCCUUGUACACACCGCCCGUCACACCAUGGGAGUGGGUUGCAAAAGAAGUAGGUAGCUUAACCUUCGGGAGGGCGCUUACCACUU